ensembl:lncRNA
GGAUAGAGAGAGACAGGGAUAGAGAGAGACAGGGGACAGAGAGACGGUGGAUAGAGACAGACAGGGAUAGAGAGAGACAAGGGAUAGAGAGAGACAGGGGAUAGAGAGAGACAGUGGAUAGAGAGAGACAGUGGAUAGAGACAGACAGGGGUAGAGGGAGACAGGGGAGAGAGACAGACAGGGAUAGAGAGAGAACGACAGGGAUAGAGAGAGACACAGGGGAUAGAGAGACACAGGGGUAGAAAGAGACAGGGGCUAGAGAGAGAUGGGGUAGAGAGAGAGUGGUAGAGAGAGACAGGGAUAGAGAGAGACAGGGAUAGAGAGAGACGGAGUAGAGAGAGACGGGGGUAGAGAGAGACAGUGGUAGAGAGAGACGGGGGUAGAGAAACGGUGGUAGAGAGAGACAGGGGAUAGAGAGAGAGACAGGUAGAGAGAGACAGGGGUAGAGAGAGACAGGGGGUAGAGAGAGACAGGGGAUAGAGAGAGACAGGGAUAGAGAGAGACACGGGGUAGAGAGAGACAGGGAUAGAGAGAGACAGGGAUAGAGAGAGACAGGGGAUAGAGAGAGACAGGGAUAGAGAGAGACAGGGGAUAGAGAGAGACAGGGAUAGAGAGAGACAGGGGUAAAGAGAGACAGGGGAUAGAGAGAGACAGGGGAAGAGAGAGACAGGGGAUAGAGAGAGACAGGGGAUAGAGACAGACAGCGAUAGAGAGAGACAGG